UACGUAGGGUGCGAGCGUUAUUCGGAAUUACUGGGCGUAAAGCGUGCGCAGGCGGUUGGUUAAGUCUGAUGUGAAAGCCCCGGGCUCAACCUGGGAAUGGCAUUGGAAACUGGCUAGCUGGAGUGUGGCAGAGGGGGGUGGAAUUCCGCGUGUAGCAGUGAAAUGCGUAGAGAUGUGGAGGAAUACCGAUGGCGAAGGCAGCCCCCUGGGCCAGUACUGACGCUCAUGCACGAAAGCGUGGGGAGCAAACAGG
rnacentral:rRNA from 1 species